rnacentral:rRNA from 1 species
UACGUAGGAUCCAAGCUUUGUCCGGAUUUACUGGGUGUAAAGGGUGCGCAGGCGGACUUUUUAGUCAGAGGUGAAAUCUCACGGCUCAACCGUGAAACUGCCUUUGAUACUGCAGGUCUUGAAUUGGGGAGAGAGUUGUGGAAUUCCGAGUGUAGCAGUGAAAUGUGUAGAUAUUCGGAAGAACACCAGUGGCGAAGGCAGCAACUUGGCCCCAGAUUGACGCUCAGGCACGAAAGCAUGGGGAUCAAACAGG